CCUACGUGGGGCAGCAGUGGGGAAUAUUGCACAAUGGGGGAAACCCUGAUGCAGCGACGCCGCGUGAGUGAAGAAGUAUUUCGGUAUGUAAAGCUCUGUCAGCAGGGAAGAAAAUGACGGUACCUGACCAAGAAGCCCCGGCAAACUACGUGCCAGCAGCCGCGGUAAUACGUAGGGGGCAAGCGUUAUCCGGAUUUACUGGGUGUAAAGGGAGCGUAGACGGGAGGGCAAGUCUGGAGGGAAAGGCGGGGGCUCAACCCCCGGACUGCUCUGGAAACUGCCAGGCUGGAGUGCGGGAGAGGUAAGCGGAAUUCCUGGUGUAGCGGUGAAAUGCGUAGAUAUUAGGAAGAACACCAGUGGCGAAGGCGGCUUACUGGACUGUAACUGACGUUGAGGCUCGAAAGCGUGGGUAGCAAACAGGAUUAGAUACCCCAGUAGUC
rnacentral:rRNA from 1 species